AACCUCCGCAAUGUGAGAAAUCGCGACGGGGGGAUCCCAAGUGCCAUUCUUAACGGGAUGGCUUUUCAUUAGUGUAAAGAGCUUUUGGAAUAAGGGCUGGGCAAGACCGGUGCCAGCCGCCGCGGUAACACCGGCAGCUCUAGUGGUAGCAGUUUUUAUUGGGCCUAAAGCGUCCGUAGCCGGUUUAAUAAGUCUCUGGUGAAAUCCUGUAGCUUAACUGUGGGAAUUGCUGGAGAUACUAUUAGACUUGAGACCGGGAGAGGUUAGAGGUACUCCCAGGGUAGAGGUGAAAUUCUGUAAUCCUGGGAGGACCGCCUGUUGCGAAGGCGUCUAACUGGAACGGUUCUGACGGUGAGGGACGAAAGUUAGGGGCGCGAACCGGAUUAGAUACCCGGGUAGUCCUAACUGUAAACGAUGCGGACUUGGUGUUGGGGUGGCUUUGAGCUGUUCCAGUGCCGAAGGGAAGCUGUUAAGUCCGCCGCCUGGGAAGUACGGUCGCAAGACUGAAACUUAAGGAAUU
rnacentral:rRNA from 1 species